UACGUAGGGUGCGAGCGUUGUCCGGAAUUAUUGGGCGUAAAGGGCUCGUAGGCGGUCUGUCGCGUCGGGAGUGAAAACUCAGGGCUUAACCCUGAGCCUGCUUCCGAUACGGGCAGACUAGAGGUAUGCAGGGGAGAACGGAAUUCCUGGUGUAGCGGUGGGAAUGCGCAGAUAUCGGGAGGAACACCGGUGGCGAAGGCGGCGACCUGGGUCGAUACUGACGCUGGAGCGCGAAAGCGUGGGGAGCAAACAGG
rnacentral:rRNA from 1 species